rnacentral:rRNA from 1 species
AUGAACGCUAGCUACAGGCUUAACACGUGCAAGUCGAGGGGCAGCAUGGUCUUAGCUUGCUAAGGCCGAUGGCGACCGGCGCACGGGUGAGUAACACGUAUCCAACCUGCCGUCUACUCUUGGACAGCCUUCUGAAAGGAAGAUUAAUACAAGAUGGCAUCAUGAGUCCGCAUGUUCACAUGAUUAAAGGUAUUCCGGUAGACGAUGGGGAUGCGUUCCAUUAGAUAGUAGGCGGGGUAACGGCCCACCUAGUCUUCGAUGGAUAGGGGUUCUGAGAGGAAGGUCCCCCACAUUGGAACUGAGACACGGUCCAAACUCCUACGGGAGGCAGCAGUGAGGAAUAUUGGUCAAUGGGCGAGAGCCUGAACCAGCCAAGUAGCGUGAAGGAUGACUGCCCUAUGGGUUGUAAACUUCUUUUAUAAAGGAAUAAAGUCGGGUAUGGAUACCCGUUUGCAUGUACUUUAUGAAUAAGGAUCGGCUAACUCCGUGCCAGCAGCCGCGGUAAUACGGAGGAUCCGAGCGUUAUCCGGAUUUAUUGGGUUUAAAGGGAGCGUAGAUGGAUGUUUAAGUCAGUUGUGAAAGUUUGCGGCUCAACCGUAAAAUUGCAGUUGAUACUGGAUAUCUUGAGUGCAGUUGAGGCAGGCGGAAUUCGUGGUGUAGCGGUGAAAUGCUUAGAUAUCACGAAGAACUCCGAUUGCGAAGGCAGCCUGCUAAGCUGCAACUGACAUUGAGGCUCGAAAGUGUGGGUAUCAAACAGGAUUAGAUACCCUGGUAGUCCACACGGUAAACGAUGAAUACUCGCUGUUUGCGAUAUACAGCAAGCGGCCAAGCGAAAGCGUUAAGUAUUCCACCUGGGGAGUACGCCGGCAACGGUGAAACUCAAAGGAAUUGACGGGGGCCCGCACAAGCGGAGGAACAUGUGGUUUAAUUCGAUGAUACGCGAGGAACCUUACCCGGGCUUAAAUUGCAGAUGAAUUACGGUGAAAGCCGUAAGCCGCAAGGCAUCUGUGAAGGUGCUGCAUGGUUGUCGUCAGCUCGUGCCGUGAGGUGUCGGCUUAAGUGCCAUAACGAGCGCAACCCUUGUUGUCAGUUACUAACAGGUUCCGCUGAGGACUCUGACAAGACUGCCAUCGUAAGAUGUGAGGAAGGUGGGGAUGACGUCAAAUCAGCACGGCCCUUACGUCCGGGGCUACACACGUGUUACAAUGGGGGGUACAGAGGGCCGCUACCACGCGAGUGGAUGCCAAUCCCCAAAACCUCUCUCAGUUCGGACUGGAGUCUGCAACCCGACUCCACGAAGCUGGAUUCGCUAGUAAUCGCGCAUCAGCCACGGCGCGGUGAAUACGUUCCCGGGCCUUGUACACACCGCCCGUCAAGCCAUGGGAGCCGGGGGUACCUGAAGUGCGUAACCGCGAGGAGCGCCCUAGGGUAAAACUGGUGACUGGGGCU